CGCAGUGGGAGGCAGAGGACGGGGCUCUCUGGCGUGUGCUCGCCCCUCCAGCUGGCCCAGGAUUCCGACCCGGGGAGGCUGACCACUCAGGUAAGCAAAGUGCCCGCUCGGGAGCCAGCCUCUUUUCUCUCCCCGACUUCAUGGCUGCUUUCCCCUGGGACCUUGCUCCAGAUGUAGAUGGGUGGGUCCGGGAAGGCGCCUCCCGCACACCCCAGAGGAAUCGUCUGGAACACUCUGGAAGCCCUCAUCAAGCAGCCACAUCUUCAGGAAUGCUCUGUGUGAUUACUGCUUCCCCAAUGGGCUCCCACUGAGUUCUCACGUAAAGAAGAAAUUCAGGAACUGGCUUCGGGUGGCCCGCACUCCUGGAGGCCUCUGAGCCUUCUGUUGCCGUACCUGUGGCUAGACCAUUUCCCAGAAACGGUGUGGGGACAUUUCUGAGGACGUCCUCUCCAGCCGCAGUGGGGACAGUCAACGAACCCGCGCCCCUUGCCCACGCCGCUCCCUGGAUCCGCACGCCGGGCCCUUCGGAUCAGACCGGGGCCAUCUGCCCCG